UGUAAGUGUAUUUAGAUUUGAAUGCUCUACUUAAUUUUUUUCUCCUUUUGUCAUUUUCUAAUGCAUUCUACCUUUUCUUGUCAAUGCCCAGUUGUACAGAUGAGCCCCUGGGUCAGGACGAGUUAUCCGACACCAUAGAACUCUUAAACGAGUUGGUAAAGGAGGGAUAUUUAUCGCCUACGGAUUUGGAUUUUUUGACCCUCCAUUCAGCAAAUCAGACAAGCAGGACGGAGCAGCCUCAAAGUAGCCAUACCUCUCAGGAACUCUUCCAUCCAGAGGACGAUAGGAGAGAGUUGAGGAUUUGGAUGAGAAAGAAGCAGAGAGAAAAACUGGCUGUAUAUCAGAAACAUAGAGAAACCCUGAGAGAAAGAGAGCGUAAACCUUUCUCUUCCUCUCGAGCAGCAGUAAAACCCACUUGUGGAAUCAGAGAGGAAAAAGAAAAGUCCAACAGGUGGUUGCUUCUGGAACAUUACAAGCAGAGGAUGGAGGAGGCUUGUUCUUUGGCAGGAGACAUCCUCACCUCUCCUGUAUCCCAACACGGUGCUUCACAUGCUGGUGGAUUCACCACAACAUUCACAGCCCGCCCUGUGUCUGCUCCACAAUCAGGCAGCACCAACAGGGCUGAUGGUUUAUCUGCUGCUUAUAAAAGAAACCCAGGGCCACACAAAGGACAAACAUCUAAACACAUUCGCUCACAGUCGACCGAGCCACAGGAACACGGUUCAGUGGAUUAUUGCAGGAGGUUUGGCCUCCAUCGACCAGUGACUGCUCUGCCAAAGGACCGUCUAUCUCAGAUUACCAAACAGGGAAUGAUCACUGUCUCAAAGAGUCACGCCAAACCACUCACAGCCAAAGGAAGCAGUGGGCGCCCCCAAAGACUCCAGACGCAGACAUCACUGAACAGGACCUACACAAGUGGAGCUGCUGAUGGAGUAGAGACUGUUAGCGAGCAGCGGAGGGUGAAGGGAAGCCAAGAGAUUGACACCUAUGAAUCCAAAAAGCUUCAGAGUCAACCGUUGGAGGAGCACGGCGAUAUCAGCAGCAUGUGCGUGUCCGGGAUGGAGUGGCUCGACCAUCUGUCUGACAGCGAAGGCAGCAAUCUCAGCAAAAUAGACUGGGCAGCCAUUGAGAGGAUGGCGGCAGCAGAGGAAGGCCAAGAAAAAUGAAGUAACACUAUAAAUAAAAACGACAUGAAUCUGCCUUAAUUACA
rnacentral:lncRNA from 1 species